UUGCCAUCAUUCAGUUUGGGCACUCUAGCGAGACUGCCGGUAAUAAACCGGAGGAAGGUGGGAUGACGUCAAAUCAUCAUGCCCCUUAUGACCUGGGCUACACACGUGCUACAAUGGUUGGUACAACGAGUUGCGAGUCGGUGACGGCGAGCUAAUCUCUUAAAGCCAAUCUCAGUUCGGAUUGUAGGCUGCAACUCGCCUACAUGAAGUCGGAAUCGCUAGUAAUCGCGGAUCAGCACGCCGCGGUCGAAUACGUUCCGGGCCUU
rnacentral:rRNA from 1 species